UGGAGGAAUCUCGCGUAGCAAGCGGCCGC
rnacentral:sRNA from 1 species